rnacentral:rRNA from 1 species
GCGCACGGCUCAGUAAAACGUGGACAACCUGCCCUCGGGUGGGGGAUAACCCCGGGAAACUGGGGCUAAUACCCCAUAGGUGAUGGGUGCUGGAAUGCCCCAUCACCGAAAGCUCCGGCGCCCGAGGAUGGGUCUACGGCGGAUUAGGUUGUUGGCGGGGUAACGGCCCGCCAAGCCGAAGAUCGGUACGGGCUGUGAGAGCAGGAGCCCGGAGAUGGACACUGAGACACGGGUCCAGGCCCUACGGGGCGCAGCAGGCGCGAAACCUCCGCAAUGCGGGAAACCGCGACGGGGGGACCCCGAGUGCCGUGGCACCGCCACGGCUUUUCCGGAGUGUAAAAAGCUCCGGGAAUAAGGGCUGGGCAAGGCCGGUGGCAGCCGCCGCGGUAAUACCGGCGGCCCGAGUGGUGGCCGCUAUUAUUGGGCCUAAAGCGUCCGUAGCCGGGCCCGUAAGUCCCUGGCGAAAUCCCACGGCUCAACCGUGGGGCUUGCUGGGGAUACUGCGGGCCUUGGGACCGGGAGAGGCGGGGGGUACCCCUGGGGUAGGGGUGAAAUCCUAUAAUCCCAGGGGGACCGCCAGUGGCGAAGGCGCCCCGCUGG